rnacentral:lncRNA from 1 species
CCCGCCCAUUGGGUCAUUAUGUAGCAAGAAAACCUGAGAAAACACCCCAUUUCACCAGUAUACAUUUCUGCUCUUUUCUUUAUUUAGUUCAGCCAAAAGGGUUUAUAUACGUUGCUUUCAAUAUACAUGUUACGAUAUAUUAUAGUUAUAAAGACACGCACAUAGUAUUCUUUUAGUUCUGUUGGACUUUUACUUUGAUAUCAUGCAAUGCUUUGUAUCGUGGGAUUUAGAAUUUAGCGGCAGUGAACAAGUUACGCCCAUUGCUGAAAGCGUCUCUGUUUUCUUCGCGCACUCGAAGCAAUGGCUUUUCACUCAUAAGUUUUCAACUGACAUUUGGAAAUAUCAAUGAAGAAGCAAGGCGCUCGUUUCCUCGUGAAAAUCGAGUUUGGCUGACUUAACUGUGGUAACACACUGGUCGUUUAAAACACUUGGCGGGAACAGCACAACAGAGCUACAAGAUGCUGUCACACAACUCUGCUGCUUCGCGCCUGACCCAGGAGGAACUUGCUCUGGAGAGCCAGGAGGACAACCACUCCUCGGAUGAAAGUGGUGAAGACAGUGAGGACGAACGUAUCCACUUUGAGCUUCGUCUUGACCCUGAUGAGGAUAUAUGUGAUGAAAACGAGGAGAACAUUGCACCUGCACCACCAAGAAAGAGAGCAAAGUCUCAGCCCAGACAGGUUCCGUUGUCAUGGAAGACAGAAAAAGAUGAUGAUGAUGCCACUCCAUCAACACUGCCGUUUCUUCCUGCAAGGGAGCCUGGUGUGCAGCUGAGUGCAGCAGACAACCACACUCCUCUGGACCUCUUCAAGUUGUUCUUUCCAGAGGAUGCCGUGGAAACCCUCUGCCACAACACCAACAAGCUGCUAGGAACAUAGCCAGAGGUGCCAAGU